rnacentral:rRNA from 1 species
UACAGAGGGUGCGAGCGUUAAUCGGAAUUACUGGGCGUAAAGCGUGCGUAGACGGUUAUUUAAGUCGGGUGUGAAAGCCCCGGGCUCAACCUGGGAAUUGCAUUCGAGACUGAAUAGCUAGGGUACGGUAGAGGGAAGCGGAAUUUCCGGUGUAGCGGUGAAAUGCGUAGAUAUCGAGAAGAACACCGGUGGCGAAGGCGGCCAACUGGACGAUGACUGACACUGAGACGCGAAAGCGUGGGGAGCAAACAGG